UACGAAGGGGGCUAGCGUUGUUCGGAAUUACUGGGCGUAAAGCGCACGUAGGCGGGUCGUUAAGUCAGGGGGGAAAUCCCGGAGCUCAACUCCGGAACUGCCUUUGAUACUGGCGAUCUCGAGAUCGGAAGAGGUGAGUGGAAUUCCCAGUGUAGAGGUGAAAUUCGUAGAUAUUGGGAAGAACACCGGUGGCGAAGGCGGCUCACUGGUCCGAUACUGACGCUGAGGUGCGAAAGCUAGGGGAGCGAACGGG
rnacentral:rRNA from 1 species